GACGAACGCUGGCGGCGCGCUUAACACAUGCAAGUCGAGCGAUGAAACUUUAACAGAACCCUUCGGGGCGAAGAUAAAGUGGAUUAGCGGCGGACGGGUGAGUAACACGUGAGUAACCUGCCUUAGACAUUGGGAUAGCCUCGGGAAACCGGGAUUAAUACCAAAUAAAAUCAUAAUGACACAUGUCAUAACGAUCAAAACUCCGGUGGUCUAAGAUGGACUCGCGUCCCAUUAGCUAGUUGGUAGAGUAAAAGCCUACCAAGGCGACGAGGGGUAGCCGGCCGGGGGGGGGGAACGCCAACUAGGGAAAUGAGAACCGGCCCAAACUCCUACGGGAGGAGGCGGGGGGGAAUAUGCCAAAGGGGGGGAAACUCGGAUGAGCCGACGCGGGGGAAAGAAAAAGGGUUUGCGAUACGAAAAUUUUUUUUUUAUGGAAAAAAAAGGACGUUCCCAAAAAAAAAAGCCCCGGCUAACUCCGUC
rnacentral:rRNA from 1 species